CAGCAGUCGCCACGGUAAUACGUAGGUGGCAAGCGUUGUCCGGAAUUAUUGGGCGUAAAGGGCUCGCAGGCGGUUUCUUAAGUCUGAUGUGAAAGCCCCCGGCUCAACCGGGGAGGGUCAUUGGAAACUGGGAAACUUGAGUGCAGAAGAGGAGAGUGGAAUUCCACGUGUAGCGGUGAAAUGCGUAGAGAUGUGGAGGAACACCAGUGGCGAAGGCGACUCUCUGGUCUGUAACUGGCGCUGAGGAGCGAAAGCGUGGGGAGCGAACAGGAUUAGAUACCCCUGUAGUCCCUGUCUCUUAUAC
rnacentral:rRNA from 1 species